CCUACGGGAGGCAGCAGUGGGGAAUUUUGGACAAUGGGGGCAACCCUGAUCCAGCAAUGCCGCGUGAGUGAAGAAGGCCCUCGGGUUGUAAAGCUCUUUUGUCAGGGAAGAAACGGUCUACUCUAAUACAGUGGGCUAAUGACGGUACCUGAAGAAUAAGCACCGGCUAACUACGUGCCAGCAGCCGCGGUAAUACGUAGGGUGCAAGCGUUAAUCGGAAUUACUGGGCGUAAAGCGUGCGCAGGCGGUUUUAUAAGACAGAGGUGAAAUCCCCGGGCUCAACCUGGGAACUGCCUUUGUGACUGUAAGGCUAGAGUGUGUCAGAGGGGGGUAGAAUUCCACGUGUAGCAGUGAAAUGCGUAGAUAUGUGGAGGAAUACCGAUGGCGAAGGCAGCCCCCUGGGAUAACACUGACGCUCAUGCACGAAAGCGUGGGGAGCAAACAGGAUUAGAUACCCUGGUAGUCCACGCCCUAAACGAUGUCUACUAGUUGUCGGGACUUAAUUGUCUUGGUAACGCAGCUAACGCGUGAAGUAGACCGCCUGGGGAAGUCGGUCGCAAAGNUUAAAACCUCAAAGGAAUUGACGGCUGNGAGNGCGAGACGACGACGAGGAGGAGG
rnacentral:rRNA from 1 species